UUUUUUUUUUUUUUUUUUUUUUUUGCCCAUAAAUACCUUGAAGCAAUGUAGACUUUGCUGUGGCAAUGAUAGUUUCAUAAUUGCCACUUGCUACAACACAACAUUAAAGAACUCAAUCUGUACUUUGGUUCACAUGCCUAAGUAAAAUACAACAGAUGACAAGAGUACACUCCACAUUGCAAUGAGCUGCCUUACUGAAGAUUACUGCAUCUCAAGUGAAAAGGUACUUCUAAAUAAACAGAACAAACAUGAAACAUCCAUGCCGGUCAAGGAAAUUGAAAAACUUUCUAACAAAAAUCAGCCAAGCCAAAAAGAAAGUGCCCAGAGAAGAUUUCAUUACCAUAAAUACAA
rnacentral:misc_RNA from 1 species